AAGGAAAGUCUAUAGUUAAUAUACAUAUAUAUAAAUAAAAAUUUAAAGUUUUAAAUAGAAAAUAUCAAUAUGUUAAUAAAUAAUUUAAUAUUAAAUAACACAAAUAUAUUGCGGACAUACAAUCUUUUAUAUAACUUUUAAUACAGAAAGAUAAUUAACAAGAUAUAGCUUAU
rnacentral:RNase_P_RNA from 1 species